UGGUGAAUCAUGGUCAAUGGGCGAAAGCCUGAACCUGCGACGCCGCGUGAGUGAUGAAGGUCGUAAGAUCGUAAAACUCUUUUCAGGGAUCUUAAAGCACAGCUGUCAACAACAGCUGUGUGUGACUCUCCCUGGAAGAAGCCCCAGCCAACUACAUGCCAGCAGCUGCGGUAAUACGUAGGGGGCAAGCGUUGUCCGGAUUUACUGGGUGUAAAGGGUGCUCAGGCGGGUUUGUAAGUCAGUGGUGAAAUCCCGGAGCUUAACUCCGGAACUGCCAUUGAUACUGCAAGCCUAGAGAUCGGGAGAGGUUGAUGGAAUAUCUGGUGUAGCAGUGAAAUGCUUAGAUAUAACACAGAACACCGAUCGUGAAGACAGGUUACGAAUUUGUUAUAGACGCUCAUGCACGAAAGCGUGGGGAUCAAACA
rnacentral:rRNA from 1 species